AAAUGGAACCAUUCAUUUUCUUAUUUAUCAAGAUCAACAUCUCAAAGAUUUUCAAUAUUUCAAGAUUUCGAAAUUAUGAUCUUAUUUUCUGUAAAAAUUAAUGUUCAAUAUCUCAUGACUCAAAUUAAAAUCAAAUCUAUCUCUUGUGAAUAGAAGAAGGUAAAUGUCUCUAUUCUUGCAUAAGAACUUCAUUCAUCAUCAUCAUUCAUUUUUUUUU
rnacentral:lncRNA from 1 species